UACGUAGGGACCAAGCGUUGUUCGGAUUUACUGGGCGUAAAGGGCGCGUAGGCGGCAAAUUAAGUCAGCUGUGAAAUCUCCGAGCUUAACUCGGAACUGUCAGCUGAUACUGAUGUGCUAGAGUGCGGAAGGGGCAAUCGGAAUUCUUGGUGUAGCGGUGAAAUGCGUAGAUAUCAAGAGGAACACCUGAGGUGAAGACGGGUUGCUGGGCCGACACUGACGCUGAGCGCGCGAAAGCCAGGGGAGCAAACGGG
rnacentral:rRNA from 1 species